UUAUUCGCUCUUGAACGAGGAAUCCCUAGUAAGCACAAGUCACUAGCUUGUGCUGAUUACGUCCCUGCCCUUUGUACACACCGCCAGUCGCUACUACCGAUUGAAUGGCUUAGCGAGGCCUUCGGAUUGAGUUUUGGGAACUGGCAACAGAUCCUGAUUUUUAAGAAGUUGGUCAAACUUGGUCAUUUAGAGGAAGUAAAAGUCGUAACAAGGUUUCCGUAGGUGAACCUGCGGAAGGAUCAUUACCAAUUUAGCGAACCUGGUUGCUUUUGACCGAGGUCUCGCAAAACCUGUAUUUAAAACCCACACUUUUUAUAUAAAAUUAUUGUAUCAAUUAUGAUAAAAAAAGAUCACUUUCAACAACGGAUCUCUUGGCUCUCGCAUCGAUGAAGAACGUAGCGAAGUGCGAUAAGUAAUGUGAAUUGCAGAAUUCCGUGAGUCAUCGAAUCUUUGAACGCAAAUUGCACUCCCUGGCAUUCCGGGGAGUAUGCCUGUUUGAGGGUCAGUUUAAAUAAAUAUCGAGGUGUUGCUUUUUGUGACGCUUCGGAAUUGGGUUAUCUUGAUCCUCUGGGGGUUAAGUGACCUAAAAUUGAUGUAUCUCUGUGCAUCUCGGACGUACAUAAGAAUUUUUUUUUCCUAUCCGUCAGGGUUGCCAGGUCCUUAUUAGGUAUGAUCACGUUGCUUGUGAAAUCCGUACCUAUAAUGUAACUCAUAUUUUGACCUCAAAUCAGGUAGGAAUACCCGCUGAACUUAAUCAUAUCAAUAAGCGGAGGAAAAGAAAAUAACAAUGAUUCCCCUAGUAACUGCGAGUGAAGAGGGACAAGCUCAAAUUUUAAAUCUGUUAGGUUUAACCCGACCCGAGUUGUAAUUUGAAGAGGUGUUUUCCGCGUUUUUGGUCAGUCCCAAGUCCUUUGGAAUGAGGCAUCAUGGAGGGUGAGAAUCCCGUUCGGCUGACCAGAUUCGUUUUAUGAUACACUUUCAAAGAGUCAAGUUGUUUGGGAUUGCAGCUUAAAAUGGGAGGUAAAUUUCUCCUAAGGCUAAAUAUUGGCGAGAGACCGAUAGCGAACAAGUACCGUGAGGGAAAGAUGAAAAGUACUUUGAAAAGAGAGUUAAAUAUUACGUGAAAUUGUUGAAAGGGAAACGAUUGAAGCCAGUCGUACUCAUGGGUAAUCAACCUUUCUGGCGCGAUUAUGUGGACGUGUUGGAGCCUAAUCAGCCCUCAUGUUUUUAUAUUCGUUCCCCUUGGGUGUACUUGCCCGUGCGGUAGGUUAACAUCAAUUUCGGACGUCAUAAAAUGACGGGAGGAAUGUAGCUUUGGUCUCGUACUGAAGUGUUAUAGCCUCUGGUAGAUGUGACGUCUGGGAUUGAGGAUUGCAACGGAUACCUUUCGGGGCUACCUGUCUGGCCUCUGAUGAUUGCUUUGGUGUCGAAAGCUUGCUUACGGUCAUCAAAAGUUGAUUGUCAAAAAGGUUAGAACAGGUUAAAUUCGUUAAAGGAUGUUGACGUAAAUGGCUUUAAACGACCCGUCUUGAAAACACGGACCAAGGAGUCUAACAAUAAUAAUGCGGAAGUGUUCAAUUCGUCGGA
rnacentral:rRNA from 1 species